UGCAGUCGAGCGGUAAGGCCCUUCGGGGUACACGAGCGGCGAACGGGUGAGUAACACGUGAGCAAUCUGCCCUUCUCUUUGGAUAACCAUUGGAAACGAUGGCUAAUGCCGAAUAUGACCUCCUUUCGCAUGUUUGGAGGUGGAAAGCUCCGGCGGACAAGGAUGAGCUCGCGGCCUAUCAGCUUGUUGGUGAGGUAAUGGCUCACCAAGGCAUUGACGGGUAGCCGGCCUGAGAGGGUGACCGGCCACACUGGGACUGAGACACGGCCCAGACUCCUACGGGAGGCAGCAGUGGGGAAUAUUGGACAAUGGGCGAAAGCCUGAUCCAGCAACGCCGCGUGAGGGAUGACGGCCUUCGGGUUGUAAACCUCUUUCAGCAGGGACGAAGCGAGAGUGACGGUACCUGCAGAAGAAGGACCGGCCAACUACGUGCCAGCAGCCGCGGUAAUACGUAGGGUCCGAGCGUUGUCCGGAAUUAUUGGGCGUAAAGGGCUCGUAGGCGGUUUGUCGCGUCGGGAGUGAAAACUCAGGGCUCAACCCUGAGCGUGCUUCCGAUACGGGCAGACUAGAGGUAUGCAUGGGAGAACGGAAUUCCUGGUGUA
rnacentral:rRNA from 1 species